AGAGUUUGAUCAUGGCUCAGGAUGAACGCUAGCGGCAGGCUUAACACAUGCAAGUCGAGGGGCAGCGGGUGUAGCAAUACAUGCCGGCGACCGGCGAAAGGGUGAGUAACGCGUGAGCAACAUACCCGUUGGUGGGGGAUAGGAGGUGGAAACGCCUUGUAAUACCCCAUACGAUACGAAGUGGCAUCACAUUGUAUUGAAAGAUUCAUUGUCAACGGAUUGGUUCGCGUGCCAUUAGGUAGACGGCGGGGUAACGGCCCACCGUGCCGACGAUGGCUAGGGGUUCUGAGAGGAAGGUCCCCCACAUUGGAACUGAGACACGGUCCAGACUCCUACGGGAGGCAGCAGUGAGGAAUAUUGGUCAAUGGCCGGAAGGCUGAACCAGCCAUGCCGCGUGAAGGACGAAGGCCCUAUGGGUCGUAAACUUCUUUUGAUGUGGAGCAAUAAGGGCCACGUGUGGUCCGAUGAGAGUACACGUCGAAUAAGCAUCGGCUAACUCCGUGCCAGCAGCCGCGGUAAUACGGAGGAUGCGAGCGUUAUCCGGAUUUAUUGGGUUUAAAGGGUGCGUAGGCGGUCGGGUAAGCGUAGGGUGAAAGUCCUCUGCUCAACAGGGGAAGUGCCUUCCGAACUGUCCGACUUGAAUUCUCCUGCCGUGGGAGGAAUGUGUGGUGUAGCGGUGAAAUGCAUAGAGAUCACACAGAACACCGAUUGCGAAGGCAUCUCACGAAGGGGCGAUUGACGCUGAGGCACGAAAGCGUGGGGAUCAAACAGGAUUAGAUACCCUGGUAGUCCACGCAGUAAACGAUGAUGACUAACCGUCGGUUCGAACGGAUCGGUGGCCAAGCGAAAGCGAUAAGUCAUCCACCUGGGGAGUACGACCGCAAGGUUGAAACUCAAAGGAAUUGACGGGGGCCCGCACAAGCGGAGGAACAUGUGGUUUAAUUCGAUGAUACGCGAGGAACCUUACCCGGGCUCGAACGGUGCAGGAAGAGAUCAGGAGACUGUGACGCCCUACGGGGCCUGCAUCGAGGUGCUGCAUGGUUGUCGUCAGCUCGUGCCGUGAGGUGUCGGCUCAAGUGCCAUAACGAGCGCAACCCUUGCCGUCAGUUGCCAUCAGGUAGCGCUGGGGACUCUGACGGAACUGCCACCGCAAGGUGUGAGGAAGGGGGGGAUGACGUCAAAUCAGCACGGCCCUUACGUCCGGGGCGACACACGUGUUACAAUGGCGGCCACAGAGGGGGACAAACUGGUGACAGUGCGUAAAUCCCGAAAAGCCGCCUCAGUUCGGAUCGGAGUCUGCAACCCGACUCCGUGAAGCUGGAUUCGCUAGUAAUCGCGCAUCAGCCAUGGCGCGGUGAAUACGUUCCCGGGCCUUGUACACACCGCCCGUCAAGCCAUGAAAGUCUGGGGCGCCUGAAGUCCGUGACCGGAAGGAGCGGCCUAGGGCGAAACAGAUGAUUGGGGCUAAGUCGUAACAAGGUAGCCGUACCGGAAGGUGUGGCUGGAACACCUCCUU
rnacentral:rRNA from 1 species